GGAGGGAUGGUAGAGCGGUUGAAUGCGACAGUCUUGAAAACUGUUGACCGAUUACUCGGUCCGUGGGUUCGAAUCCCACUCCCUCCGCCA
rnacentral:tRNA from 1 species